CCCUUAGAUGUCCUGGGCCGCACGCGCGUUACACUGAUGCAUUCAACGAGCUUAUAACCUUGGCCGAGAGGCCUGGGCAAUCUUGUUAACGUGCAUCGUGAUAGGGAUAGAUUAUUGAAAUUAUUAAUCUUGAACGAGGAAUUCCUAGUAAACGCAGAUCAUCAAUCUGCAUUGAUUACGUCCCUGCCCUUUGUACACACCGCCCGUCGCUCCUACCGAUUGAAUGAUCCGAUGAAUAUCAUGGAUUGAGGAUGCAAGUAGGUUCGCCUAUCUUCAUCUUCGAGAAGUGAAGUAAAUCUUAUCAUUUAGAGGAAGGAGAAGUCGUAACA
rnacentral:rRNA from 1 species